UCGAGGAUCUUCCGCAAUGGGCGAAAGCCUGACGGAGCGACGCCGCGUGGAGGACGAAGGCCUUAGGGUUGUAAACUCCUGUCGAGGGUUAUGAAGAGCGGCUUGCGAACAGCAAGUCGUGUGACGUAAGCCCUGGAGGAAGCACCGGCUAACUCUGUGCCAGCAGCCGCGGUAAUACAGAGGGUGCUAACGUUGUUCGGAAUUACUGGGCAUAAAGCGUACGUAGGCGGCGCGUCAAGUGCGGGGUGAA
rnacentral:rRNA from 1 species